rnacentral:rRNA from 1 species
GACGAACGCUGGCGGCGUGCCUAAUACAUGCAAGUGGGACGCAAGGGAACACACUGUGCUUGCACACCGUGUUUUCUUGAGUCGCGAACGGGUGAGUAACGCGUAGGUAACCUGCCUAUUAGCGGGGGAUAACUAUUGGAAACGAUAGCUAAUACCGCAUGAUAUUAAUUAUUGCAUGAUAAUUGAUUGAAAGAUGCAAGCGCAUCACUAGUAGAUGGACCUGCGUUGUAUUAGCUAGUUGGUAAGGUAAGAGCUUACCAAGGCGACGAUACAUAGCCGACCUGAGAGGGUGAUCGGCCACACUGGGACUGAGACACGGCCCAGACUCCUACGGGAGGCAGCAGUAGGGAAUCUUCGGCAAUGGACGAAAGUCUGACCGAGCAACGCCGCGUGAGUGAAGAAGGUUUUCGGAUCGUAAAGCUCUGUUGUAAGUCAAGAACGUGUGUGAGAGUGGAAAGUUCACACAGUGACGGAGCUACCAGAAAGGAC